rnacentral:lncRNA from 1 species
AUCCCAGGCGGGCUGCUCCCCAACUCCCUCCCGCUGGCAGCGCGGUGCCGCCAGCGGCCGCUCUCAGGCAGGGGGAUGGGUGGGAACUCCAUUUCGCCGAGAUCAGCUCCGUCUCCUCAGGCUCACGCUCCAAAGGCGACAAACUCUUCUUUCCAAGGAGGCAGCCCUCCGCCUCGCAGCCGUGACACCGGGCCCUGGCGCACAAAGAGCGCGGCUCCAUUGUCCGCAGGCAGUCCCUGCACCUCGCCGGCACCCGGGGCUACGGGUACCUGCGGGAGAGACCCGGGCAGCCGGACCCCCGUGGGGGUCCCUCGCCCUCCCCUCUGGUACCCACACCCCGAGCCAGAUGUGCAGAGCAGAGGCACAGAGCGGCUGCAGCGUAUUUUUACCCGUGUGUUUACUCGUGCGAGACCGGCCUCCUCGAAACGCGCUAACGUUGAAAGAAAUCUCUUUUCAAAACAAAGCGAGAAAUUAUAGGAACGAAGGGUUUUGCCUGGCAGCAAACCUCCCUCCAAAGCCACCAAUGGAAACUCGCAAAGGUAGAAACAACAAAAAAAAAAAAAAGGUAAUUAAUUCAGAGCCUACCAUUUUUUCCACAUCCAUCUCUAAGCAACAGUACCAUAGCAACUUUUUCCUGCUUUAAUACAUCUUACAAAAGAGGAGGCACGGACAAAAUAAGACCCAGGAAUGUCAAAUUUCCACUUCCAGUCGAGUGCCUCGUAUUUCCUCAGCCAGCUAUGCCUGGAAUUACACCAACAGCCCCGCAGCGCAUUUUCUCCCCCGAACCCUGCCUUUGUAUAACGCCCGAUCCCGCGACCUGGGCUCGGGGACACCACAAACCACACAGCAAAUGCCCCAGUGCCACCCCCUCCGUGGGAGCCACCGGGCGAGCAGGCGGCGUUGGCGAAAUGCAAGCUCCAGCCUCGCCACGCCUGGCUGCCAGCCCCUCAGGAUCUCAGCCCGGGGGUGCCCGAGCCCCCGCUCCGCCUGCCCACGCCGCCGGGGCCCCGCCGCCAUUUUAGAGGCCGCCUGGCAGCAGCCGGCUGUGGGGAGAAGCCCCCCGGGGCUGCUCCGCUCAGCCCAGCGCCGUGCACAGGCAGCGGGGGCACCACGAGCCGUGUCCCCAAACCCGUGGGGGGGGCCCGGUGCCCCCCCGGGGGGGGGGGGGGGGGGGGGGGGGGGGGGGGGGGGCAGCACCCACGGCCCCUUUUUGGGCCGAGGCUGCGGGCAGGGAGGCAGCCGGGGCCCGCCAUCUGUCAGCGGGCUCCCCGGCCCAGCCUCCUCGCGUGUUGGUAACCACAUCUAUUUUUCCCAUGGUGACUCAUUAUUAAGGACGCGCCGUCAUUUUUCCAGCGCGAAGGCAGCGAGAGCGAGGCAGGCUGGAGG